rnacentral:misc_RNA from 1 species
GAUGAAGAACGUAGCGAAAUGCGAUACGUAAUGUGAAUUGCAGAUUUCAGUGAAUCAUCGAAUCUUUGAACGCACAUUGCGCCCGCUAGUAUUCUGGCGGGCAUGCCUGUUCGAGCGUCAUUUCAACCAUCAAGCCCUAGGCUUGCGUUGGAGCCCUGCGGCUGCCACAGGCUCCCAAAUCCAGUGGCGGGCUCGUCGUCGUACCGAGUGCAGUAAACAUCCUCGCUCAGGGAACGUGACGGGUUCUUGCCGUGAAACCCCCCACAUAUCAAGGUUGACCUCGGAUCAGGUAGGAAUACCCGCUGAACUUAAGCAUAUCAAUAGCGGAGGA